UAAAAAGAAGAGCCCUCUCCGAUCAGAGGGCUAGAAAUACUUGCACAAGAGAUCUUUAGUUGGUCACCUGAAGCCUGCUUGAAGAUUUUGGAUUCCUGUUAAUUUCCAGAUGGCGGCAAUAGGAGAGGGCGUGGCCACCCAUGUCGCGGAAUCAUUGGUAGAUAAGGCAAUGAAGGAACUCAAAUACUUGUGUUGUUACAACACCUAUGUUAAUGACUUCGACGAGGAGAAGAAAAGUUUGAGUGCAAGAAAAGAAACAGUGCUUAAAGAUAUUGAAGAUGCCAAGCACCGAAAUGAGAAUAAUGUUGG